rnacentral:rRNA from 1 species
AACGUAGGAGACGAAACGUUAUCCGGAGUUACUGGGCGUAAAGGGCGUGUAGGUGGUUUCGUAAAGUCCUGGGCGUGAAAUUUUUCGGGCUUAACCGGGAAAGGUCGUCGGAUACUGCGGAACUAGAGGACGGGUAGAGGCGUGUGGAAUUCCGGGUGUAGUGGUGAAAUGCGUAGAGAUCCGGAGGAACACCAGUGGCGAAGGCGACACGCUGGGCCGUACCUGACACUGAUGCGCGA